rfam:Angiostrongylus cantonensis strain Taiwan genome assembly, scaffold: ACAC_scaffold0002809
GUCCAAGCAGCAUAGUGGUUACUACUCCACGUUGUUACCGCGUCGACACAGGUUCGAUUCCUGUCUUGGGCA